rnacentral:rRNA from 1 species
UACGUAGGGUGCAAGCGUUGUCCGGAAUUAUUGGGCGUAAAGAGCUCGUAGGCGGUCUGUCGCGUCUGCUGUGAAAUCCCGAGGCUCAACCUCGGGCUUGCAGUGGGUACGGGCAGGCUAGAGUGCGGUAGGGGAGAAUGGAACUCCUGGUGUAGCGGUGGAAUGCGCAGAUAUCAGGAGGAACACCGGUGGCGAAGGCGGGACUCUGGGCCGAUACUGACGCUGAGGAGCGAAAGCGUGGGGAGCAAACAGG